rnacentral:rRNA from 1 species
UCGAGUGACGGGCGGCGUACGCGUCGUCUGCGCCUUCCGUUCUCCGAACUGUAGUUGAAUGCGUGCACUUUUCCCCCAGUAGGACGUCGCGAUCCGUUGGGUGUCGGUCUAAGGACCGCGGUGGAGUCCGUCUGGACGGCUUGCCGAUCCGGACGAACCCGCGGUUUCCCGCCCGGCUCGCUCGACGGUAUACAUAUGGCGCGAGGCCGCUAUUUAGUUAGCGUUCGACCCGUGGCAAGCGCGCUCGUCGUGUCGGUGAUCGGACCUGGUCCGGUCCCGGCCCCGGGUGGCUGUUCGCUGCGGUGUUCUCGGACAGACCUCGUUGAAACGCCAAUCAGCGACGCUAUAGCUUUGGGUACUUUCAGGACCCUUCUUGAAACACGGACCAAGGAGUCUAGCAUGUGCGCGAGUCAUUGGGACAUGACUAAACCUAAAGGCGCAAUGAAAGUGAAGGUCCGCCUUGCGCGGACCGAGGGAGGA